rnacentral:sRNA from 1 species
GACGGUUGGUUCUAACCUUAGUCAGAAUCCCUGUUUUCGUCAACAUUGAAUGAUUUGGCGCGAAAUUUUUGCGAAAUGCCUUGCAUGUCUCAAGAAUAGUCCCUAUGCUCGCUCAUGGACACGUGGUCCGAAUUUACGCAAUAGGAAGUGCAUCAAAUGGCAACAGGUACAGUAAAGUGGUUCAACGAUAGUAAAGGUUUCGGUUUCAUUACUCCUGAAGAUGGCAAAGAAGAUGUAUUCGUACAUCACUCCGCCAUUCAGGGCAGCGGCUUCAAGACCCUGGCAGAAGGCGCACGUGUAUCGUUCAACAGUGUUCGCGGCCCCAAAGGCAUGCAGGCUGAGGACGUGCGCGAGAUCUAAUCCCUAGCGGAUGAUCAUCGCCCAGGGCGCCGCAAUUGCGGCGCUUUUUUUU